ensembl:snRNA Gm56091 U6 spliceosomal RNA
GCGCUCACCUGGGCAGCAUGUAUGCUAAAAUUGGAAUGAUACAGAGAUCAGCAUACAGCCCCUGGGCAAAUGGUGACACAGAGAUAUGUGAAGCAGGGCAUAUUAAU